AGUGAACGCUGGCGGUAGGCCUAACACAUGCAAGUCGAACGGCAGCACAGUAAGAGCUUGCUCUUACGGGUGGCGAGUGGCGGACGGGUGAGGAAUACAUCGGAAUCUACUUUUUCGUGGGGGUUAACGUAGGGAAACUUACGCUAAUACCGCAUCCCACCUACGGGUGAAAGCAGGGGAUCUUUGGACCUUGCGCGAUUGAAUGCGCCGAUGUUGGAUUAGCUAGUUGGCGGGGUAAAGGCCCACCCAGGCGACGAUCCGUAGCUGGUCUGAGAGGAUGGUCAGCCACACUGGAACUGAGACACGGUCCAGACUCCUACGGGAGGCAGCAGUGGGGAAUAUUGGACAAUGGGCGCAAGCCUGAUCCAGCCAUACCGCGUGGGUGAAGAAGGCCUUCGGGGUGUAAAGCCCUUUUGUUGGGAAAGAAAAGCAGCAGGUUAAUACCCCGCUGUUCUGACGGUACCCAAAGAAUAAGCACCGGCUAACUUCGUG
rnacentral:rRNA from 1 species